rnacentral:rRNA from 1 species
AUGAACUACGGCCGCGGUGGACAAAAAAUUCAUUUGCAAAAGAUUUCAGGCAGCCAGACCCAGAUGCGUCCGCGCGUUGGGCGCAUCCAGAAAAAUGGCCGGACGCCGCCCCAUUGCCCUACCCAAACGGACGUUCGUUCGCGGUCGAUGGUUGGAGUUGGCCUAAUGGUAAAUCAAACGGCCCGCAACACUCAGUUUUGCCAGAUCUUGACCAUCGGAUCAAGUUCAUCCAAUGAUAUACAUUCAAAGUUAUUCAUACACUAUAUAGAUGAUACAGAUAUAGAAAACACACAGAAAAAGGAAAGCAUCUAA